rnacentral:sRNA from 1 species
CACAGCACGAGAUGACCCAAUAACCGGAACUCCUACGUCGUUCGGGUUAUUGGGUCAUCUCGUGCUGUG